rnacentral:rRNA from 1 species
UUUGAGAGUUUGAUCCUGGCUCAGGAUAAACGUUGGCGGCGUGCCUUAGGCAUGCAAAUCAAGGGGCUCCGACGCAAGUCGGAGAACCGGUGGACGGGUGAGUAAUACGCAGGAAUCUGCCUGGAAGUGGGAUAUAGCUCGGCGAAAGCCGGGGUAAUCUCCCAUGUGAACGCAAGUUUAAAGCCGCAAGGCGCUUCUAGAUGAGCCUGCGUCCUAUCAGCUAGUUGGUGGGGUAAUGGCCUACCAAGGCGACGACGGGUAGCUGGACUGAGAGGUCGGUCAGCCACAAUGGGACUGCGACCAAAACGGCCCAUACACCUACGGGUGGCAGCAACCGGGAAUAUUCGACAAUGGACGAAAGUCUGAUCGAGCGACGCCGCGUGGAGGAUGAAGGCCCUCGGGUUGUAAACUCCUUUUAUCUGGGAAGAUUAUGACGGUACCAGAUGAAUAAGCACUUGCUAACUACGUGCCAGAAGCCUCGGUAAUGCGUAGAGUGCAAACGUUAUCCGGAUUUAUUGGGCGUAAAGAGUUGCGUAGGCUG